rnacentral:misc_RNA from 1 species
UGGAGAUGUUCCUUGGGGGUAUGUAUAAUCCAUUCAACAUAUGCAUGUGUGUAUUUAUGUUAAUGCAUGAUGCAAUGAAAUUCUACAUAUAUUUUUUAAGCCUGAAAGCCAAGGCCAUGUGGGCAAGCAAGAAAAUUAGGGCUAGUAGAUGGUUCGGAUUGGAUUUGCAGUUAUGAUGGUGAAAAAUUACAUGAUUCUAGUUAUCAACUUGUAGAGAGGGUACUAUUCGUUGUUAGACUCAGUAGCAUGAAAACAAAGAUGCUACAAAGAGAUAUGGUUGAUGGAGAGAGAGAGAGAGAGAG